UGGGGAAUCUUCCGCAAUGGACGAAAGUCUGACGUAGCAACGCCGCGUGUAUGAUGAAGGUCUUCGGAUUGUAAAGUACUGUCAUUGGGGAAGAACGGUUUUCUUGAAAAGAUUGAGAAGACAUGACGGUACCCAAGGAGGAAGCCCCGGCUAACUACGUGCCAGCAGCCGCGGUAAUACGUAGGGGGCAAGCGUUGUCCGGAAUUAUUGGGCGUAAAGGGCGCGUAGGCGGGCUUUUAAGUCCGGUGUGAAAGAUCAGGGCUCAACCCUGAGAGUGCAUCGGAAACUGGAGGCCUUGAGGACAGGAGAGGAAGUGGAAUUCCACGUGUAGCGGUGAAAUGCGUAGAUAUGUGGAGGAACACCAGUGGCG
rnacentral:rRNA from 1 species